rnacentral:rRNA from 1 species
UGGGGAAUCUUGGACAAUGGGGGCAACCCUGAUCCAGCGACGCCGCGUGGGUGGUAAGGCCUUCGGGUUGUAAAGCCCUUUCAGCGGGGAAGAUGAUGACAUUACCCGCAGAAGAAGCGCCGGCUAACUCCGUGCCAGCAGCCGCGGUAAGACGGAGGGCGCUAGCGUUGUUCGGAAUCACUGGGCGUAAAGGGCGCGUAGGCGGACGGUCAAGUCAGAGGUGAAAGGCCCGGGCUCAACCUGGGACGUGCCUUUGAAACUGAUUGUCUUGAGUGCGGAAGAGGGUGACGGAAUUCCCAGUGUAGAGGUGAAAUUCGUAGAUAUUGGGAAGAACACCGGUGGCGAAGGCGGUCACCUGGUCCGCAACUGACGCUGAGGCGCGAAAGCGUGGGGAGCAAACAGGAUUAGAUACCCCCGUAGUCC